UGCAUGGUUCAAUUAUUCCUGUUAUAUUCCUUCCCCCUGGAACUCCCAAGGAAAUAUACACCGACAAUCCACAUGGUUGGGGAACAUUAUUGAGUGUCUGGUUUUGGAGUGGCCCAUGGAGGUGGGGAGUAUAAAUGUAAACUCCAAAUGUUUCUUAGAUGUUUGAUAAGAAAAAUGCGUACUGCAAGUGAAUUUGAAGGUUGAAAUAUGUAAAAUUUCAAUUUAUAA